rnacentral:lncRNA from 1 species
CUAAAGUAAGUGACUGUGUGACGUGUUUCUCAUUAGUAAUCAUGUUCUUGCAAGUUUAUCUCUAGUCUAUGCCUUGAUAGAUUUUACCCUUAAUUUAAUCUCCUUAGUUCUCCCGAGCAAAAUUAUAAAUAACGAUACCUGGAAUACUUAUCCCGGUGAAAUGCUACAAUGAGGUGUUUUAUCUGUGCGCUUGCGGAUAGAAUAGAUUAUUUUCUAGAGAGCCUUUACAUUUAUAAAUACCUUUGUACACUCUGGCACC